AUUGAACGCUGGCGGCAGGCUUAACACAUGCAAGUCGAGCGAGCGGCGGACGGGUGAGUAAUGUCUGGGAAACUGCCUGAUAGAGGGGGAUAACUACUGGAAACGGUAGCUAAUACCGCAUACCAUCAGCGGUGCCCAGAUGGGAUUAGCUAGUAGGUGGGGUAAUGGCUCACCUAGGCGACGAUCCCUAGCUGGUCUGAGAGGAUGACCAGCCACACUGGAACUGAGACACGGCCCAGACUCCUACGGGAGGCAGCAGUGGGGAAUAUUGGACAAUGGGGGCAAGCCUGAUGCAGCCAUGCCGCGUGUGUGAAGAAGGCCUUCGGGUUGGAAAGCACUUUCAGCGAGGAGGCGUUACUCGCAGAAUAAGCACCGGCUAACUCCGUGCCAGCAGCCGCGGUAAUAC
rnacentral:rRNA from 1 species